rnacentral:rRNA from 1 species
GAGUGGACUUACCGCUGGUGUACCAGUUGUCUUGCCAAAGGCAUCGCUGGGUAGCUAUGUAGGGAAGGGAUAAACGCUGAAAGCAUCUAAGUGUGAAACCCACCUCAAGAUGAGAUUUCCCAUGAUUUUAUAUCAGUAAGAGCCCUGAGAGAUGAUCAGGUAGAUAGGUUAGAAGUGGAAGUGUGGCGACACAUGUAGCGGACUAAUACUAAUAGCUCGAGGACUUAUCCAA